rnacentral:rRNA from 1 species
UGAAUUUGGUUUUGGUUCUUUUCUUAGCUUUAGUUAUAUUUAAACACAUGGUAUCUUGCGAUGUCCGGUGAGUGGGUCUAUUAUUUUCUUUUUUAAUUAAAUAUUUUUGAGAUAUGUAGGCUUGUGUAUAAUUUUUUAAAUAUUACAUUUAAUAUAUUCACAGGUACGCCAGUGUUGGAUAUUAGAAAAUAAAUUUGUGUUUGCUCUAGUAAUUGGCUGUGAAGAUCUGGUUAAGUUUGUGCCAGCCACCGCGGUUAGACAAACAGAUCAAGUUAAGAUUUUUUGGUAUAAAAGGAGGUUAAGAAGAAGUAAUUAUUAGAAGGUGUAUUUUCUAGUGUAGGAGUGGAAUCUGUACAUUGGUUGGUUUAUUUUUACUUUCUUUGUCUGAUGCCUCGAAAUUUUUAUUAAAGACCGGGAUUAGAUACCCCGUUAUUUUGAAUAUAAAUAAUGAUCAUUAAUAUGAUUUACCUGAGUAUUACGAGUUGAAAAGUAUUUUAGGAACUUAAAACUCAAAAAACUUGGCGGUGCCUUAAUCCCUUCCAGGGGAACCUGUCCUGUAAAUGAUAGUCCACGAUUUAGCUUACUUUUUUUUGUAUAAGCCAAUAGGCUGAACAGUUUGUAUACCGUCGUUGUCAGAGAACCUUUGAGGGAAAAGUAGUUUUCAGUGUAAGUAGGUUAUAGUCUUAGCUAAUAGGAGUAUUAAUAAUUUUUAGAUAUCAGAUCAAGGUGCAGCUAAUGAAAAAGUAGAGAUGGGUUACAAUAUUAAGUUAAUAUAUGGAUUUUUAGGUUGUAAUACCUGAAUGAAGGCGGACUUGGGAGUAAUUUAAAUGAUUUAAGUAGUGAGUUUAUGUGAAAAAGGUACUAAGGUGCGUACAAAUCGCCCGUCGCUCUCGUCGGAAGAUGAGAUAAGUCGUAACAUAGUGAGGGUACCGGAAGGUGUUCUGGGAAAAU